rnacentral:rRNA from 1 species
UACGAAGGGGGCUAGCGUUGUUCGGAAUUACUGGGCGUAAAGGGCUCGUAGGUGGCCAACUAAGUCAGACGUGAAAUCCCUCGGCUUAACCGGGGAACUGCGUCUGAUACUGGAUGGCUUGAGUUUGGGAGAGGGACGCGGAAUUCCAGGUGUAGCGGUGAAAUGCGUAGAUAUCUGGAGGAACACCGGUGGCGAAGGCGGCGUCCUGGACCAACACUGACACUGGGGAGCGAAAGCCAGGGGAGCAAACGGG